AGGAAAAAGAAUUUGUUGGCUCAGUUCAGUCUGGAAACUGGUAAUUGGAGUAGCUCAUGCUAUAGACACAAAACUGCCACACACACACAACAUGAAAUUUAUUAUGAAUCUCACGACUAAAUUUCAUCAAAUACGACAUGUAAUGUCGUCUGCAUUACCUUCCUCUGAGCUGAUAUUUUCGCUCAUGAUGGCUUCGAUAUUGACACAACCUUCACCACAAGUCCUUUUCAUGAUCUGUUUGAUAUACUGUUGUUUGCAGUACCUCGUCAUUAUCGUGGUUCUCGGUGUUUCCGUCACUAGAAUUCAUUUGCAAUUGUACGCUCCAACUCAUAAUUGUUCCGAUUUAAACGGCGUUAAUCCGCCCAUGUUCCUACCUCUUCUCUCUCGACAUGUUGACCAAUUCAUGGAACGCGACAGACCCAUGCAUCUCCAUUUCCGGCAUUGAUGCAAAUUUUAAAAUAUCGCUACUAUUUUGACUCGCCCUGUGAUCUCUCAACCAGUUUUAUCCAUCGCUACCACAUCUAUAACGAAAUCGAUCUGAUGAAGUUAAGGUUGAAAUGAAAUUGUAUUUUUUUUCCACCAAUACACCAAUAGUAAUUGAGAACCUA